CCUACGGGAGGCAGCAGUGGGGAAUAUUGCACAAUGGGGGAAACCCUGAUGCAGCGACGCCGCGUGAGUGAAGAAGUAAUUCGUUACGUAAAGCUCUAUCAGCAGGGAAGAAACACUGACCUUACGGUCAGCAGACGGUACCUGAGUAAGAAGCCCCGGCUAACUACGUGCCAGCAGCCGCGGUAAUACGGAGGAUGCGAGCGUUAUCCGGAUUUAUUGGGUUUAAAGGGUGCGUAGGCGGAAUGCCAAGUCAGCGGUAAAAUCGCGGGGCGCAACCUCGCUCCGCCGUUGAAACUGGCGUUCUUGAGUGGGCGAGAAGUAUGCGGAAUGCGUGGGGUAGCAGUGAAAUGCAUAGAUAUCACGCAGAACUCCGAUUGCGAAGGCAGCAUACCGGCGCCCAACUGACGCUGAAGCACGAAAGCGUGGGUAUCGAACAGGAUUAGAUACCCGGGUAGUC
rnacentral:rRNA from 1 species